GGUGAAAGCAAUUCACCUGUGCAAUGGGAAGGGGUGGAACCAGGUUGCACCCCUCCCUGAGCCUCAUUUAAGGGCUUGCUGGCAUACUGGAAAGUUCUCUGCCUGGAGAUUCUGCCUUCUGGAGAAUUUGGUGGGCCCUGCUCUUUGGGAUGGUUCCACGGCCUUAAAUAAGAUGCUGCAUGAAAACAUGACUGUCUGCACAGGAUGCUUCACUGUAAUGCACGGCUUACAACCUGGUAUUAUUUUCACUCUAGCUAGAUGAGCCUCUGAUCUGAAGUAAUGUGGUGAGGAGACAACAAUUGCUGUUUCCAUCUUGCCUAAAGGUUUCUGGUCUGGAAGUGGAGUACUGUCUGUGUUGAAGACUGACUCAAGUCCUGCUGCCAAUGAGAAUGACUGGAAGUGCAGUCACCCAUACUUCAAACGCUUGGCUGAAGUUUUGAUAGAUUCUGGAUGUAUUUAUUCUUUGAAUAAGAACUUCUGUGGUAUUGUUACCUUUGUGUUAAUUUCUCCUGUGCUCUAGGCAUGAAACUCUUCCUUUUUUUUUCCCAAAUGUAGAAUUUGUCAACUGCAAUAAAGGGAGAUGCUUUUAUAUAUGAUAGAUGUCAUGACUUUUUUCCAUGUGACAGCAGUACUCCAAAUCUAAAAGCAUAUCUCCCAUGAGCCAAAUGAGGUCUCUGUGUUUAUCAGUAAUAAACGGUAUGCUUAUAGCAUGGUCUAAUAUAGAAGUAUAAAGUUGUUUUGUGUUCUGGAAUCAGAUGGGUUUUGACAGGAUUAAGCUGUAAGCUUACACACAAGAGUGCACUAACUGCUGUUAUCUUGUGCAGCUAUGAUUGCAAGAAUCUGAAUUUACGCAUUUCAAGCAAGUUUGAUGUCUGCAGCUGCACUUCAUUAAGCAGUGCAUGUUUAGGCCACCAAGGGUAUCCCUUGUCUCUAAGUAAAAAGCUGGAAUUCUGUUCAUUUUAAUAACAGGUACGGCACAAGUGUCAAUUAUGCUAUUCUGAGGUAGAGAAGUCACAGUUUUGGGAAGAGAAAUUGCAUUUCAUUGCUUGCUUUGAGUGAAUGAAUAAGCAACAUCUUGUUCUAUGGGCUCAGUGUCAUGGGACAAAAGGAAUUAAACUAGUGGCUGAUCUAAAAAUGCACCUAGGACAAUUUGGAUUCAAAAGAUACUGUUCUGAGGCAG
rnacentral:lncRNA from 1 species